rnacentral:rRNA from 1 species
AUUGAACGCUGGCGGCAGGCCUAACACAUGCAAGUCGAACGAGUGGCGGACGGGUGAGUAAUGUCUGGAAAACUGCCAGAGGGAGGGGGGUAACUACUGGAAACGGUAGCUAAUACCGCAUCCCAUCGGAUGUGCCCAGAUGGGAUUAGCUAGUAGGUGGUGUAGCGGCUCACAUAGGAGAAGAUCCCUAGCUGGUCUGAGAGGAUUACCAGCCACAAUGGAACUGAGACACGGUCCAGACUCCUACGGGAGUCAGCAGUGGGGAAUAUUGCACAAUGGGCGCAAGCCUGAUGCAGCCAUGCCGUGUGUAUGAAGAAGGCCUUAGGGUUGUAAAGUACUUUCAGCGAGGAGGCGUUACUCGCAGAAGAAGCACCGGCGAACUCCGUGCCAGCAGCCGCGGUAAUAC